ACCUUGCUGACGAGUGCAAAGUAGCACGAAACCCAGGUCCAGGGU
rfam:Schistosoma mansoni, Puerto Rico, WGS project CABG01000000 data, contig: 0113